rnacentral:lncRNA from 1 species
UUGCUCUAGCAAAUUGUUGACCCCCACAGUCACAUAAUUUAAUUCCAAAGCAAAGGCAUGCAUAAAGACAUCCUCAUCAGAGUUUACCUCUCUAAGAUCAUAGAUCAGAGAUAAGAACUUGUUGUCAUCGAAAGGCUCUCUUUGAGGUCCAUUAAAAAUUCUUCUUGCUAUGUCCCAGCUUUUUCCUUCUUUCCUCCUUAUAUCAAGAUUCUUCUGCUUGAUUGCAGCAUCAUAGAUUUUCUGUUUCUCGAUCUUGAUUUGUUCUUCUGUGAUCAACUUGUCCUCUAGA